UAUUGCAGGGCCUGCUUAACUGCUAACUUCUGAGCAAGGAGGGACCAAGAUAACUUUUUAAGGUACCAUCUGGCUCUCUGACUCUGCGGUGUGAGGAGGGUUGGCACUUGGUGCCGGCAGACAGUACCGUGUCCAGAGGAGGUGGGUGAAGGAGGAAGGGAGAAACAUGCCCUGACCUCUCAGCUACGGAAAGGCCUGGCCUUUCAGGAAUGGCUCCAUGUUCCAAGGAUGAGUCUUUGCAAAGAAGUCUUAAAUACUCACUUGUUCUGAGACAUGCUGGACUACUUACCCAGGGCCUCCAUGUGAUCUCAGAACCUUCCUGGAGAUUAAAAGCACAGAGAGACAUGACUACUCUAGAUUUGUGUAAAAUAAUUAAUUCAAUAAAUAUGUAUCGAAAGCUGUA